UGCCCACCGGCAGGGGUUUGCCGUCGGGCUGGUAGAAGUGGCGGGCGGCGGCCGCAUCGAGCCGCAGGUGCUGCUCCUGCGUGAGCAG
rnacentral:tRNA from 1 species